AACGUACGCUGGCGGCACGCCUAACACAUGCAAGUCGAACGAAGUAGCAAUACUUAGUGGCAGACGGGUGAGUAACAUGUAGGUAUCUGCCCUUUGGCCUGGAAUAACACGAGGAAACUUGUGCUAAUACCGGAUAAGUCUUUACGGAGAAAGCUUUAUGCACCAUUGGAUGAGCCUGCACUUGAUUAGUUUGUUGGUGGGGUAAUGGCCUACCAAGACUGUGAUCAAUAGCUGAUUUGAGAGGAUGAUCAGCCACAUUGGGACUGAGACACGGCCCAAACUCCUACGGGAGGCAGCAGUGGGGAAUCUUGCACAAUGGAGGAAACUCUGAUGCAGCGAUGCCGCGUGAGUGAAGAAGGCCCUUGGGUUGUAAAGCUCUUUCGUCGGGGAAGAAAAUGACUGUACCCGAAUAAGAAGGUCCGGCUAACUUCGUGCCAGCAGCCGCGGUAAUACGAAGGGACCUAGCGUAGUUCGGAAUUACUGGGCUUAAAGAGUUCGUAGGUGGUUGAAAAAGUUAGUGGUGAAAUCCCAGAGCUUAACUCUGGAACUGCCAUUAAAACUUUUCAGCUAGAGUAUGAUAGAGGAAAGCAGAAUUUCUAGUGUAGAGGUGAAAUUCGUAGAUAUUAGAAAGAAUACCAAUUGCGAAGGCAGCUUUCUGGAUCAUUACUGACACUGAGGAACGAAAGCAUGGGUAGCGAAGAGGAUUAGAUACCCUCGUAGUCCAUGCCGUAAACGAUGUGUGUUAGACGUUGGAAAUUUAUUUUCAGUGUCGCAGGGAAACCGAUAAACACACCGCCUGGGGAGUACGACCGCAAGGUUAAAACUCAAAUGAAUUGACGGGGACCCGCACAAGUAGUGGAGCAUGUGGUUUAAUUCGAAGAUACGCGCAGAACCCUUACCAACACUUGACAUGUUCGUCGCGACUCUAAGAGAUUAGAGUUUUCGGUUCGGCCGGACGAAACACAGGUGCUGCAUGGCUGUCGUCAGCUCGUGUCGUGAGAUGUUGGGUUAAGUCCCGCAACGAGCGCAACCCUCACUUUUAGUUGCCAUCAUUAAGUUGGGCACUCUGAAAGAACUGCCAGUGAUAAGCUGGAGGAAGGUGGGGAUGACGUCAAGUCCUCAUGGCCCUUACGUGUUGGGCUACACACGUGCUACAAUGGUAUCUACAACAGGAAGCAAGACUGCGAAGUUAAGCAAAUCCCUAAAAGAUACCUCAGUUCGGAUUGCGCUCUGCAACUCGAGUGCAUGAAGCUGGAAUUACUAGUAAUCGUGGAUCAGCGUGCCACGGUGAAUGCGUUCCCGGGUCU
rnacentral:rRNA from 1 species